UACGUAGGGGGCAAGCGUUGUCCGGAUUUAUUGGGCGUAAAGAGCGUGUAGGCGGCCAGGUAGGUCUGCUGUGAAAGUCGGGGGCUCAACCCUCGAAUGCCGGUGGAUACUGUCGGGCUAGAGUGCGGAAGAGGCGAGUGGAAUUCCUGGUGUAGCGGUGAAAUGCGCAGAUAUCAGGAGGAACACCAAUUGCGAAGGCAGCUCGCUGGGACGCUACUGACGCUGAGACGCGAAAGCGUGGGGAGCAAACAGG
rnacentral:rRNA from 1 species